rnacentral:lncRNA from 1 species
CCCACUCUAAAUUUUUGCUUCACCAUUGGUUUGAAACCAUAAACAUGUUUACCCUGCAGAUAAACAUAUAAAAUUCCACCCUAACCACAACAAAAGAGGUUUGUAAUUAUUAAUCAAAGAUGAAUCCAUUUAGACUCUCCAAUAACUAUUAUGCUCGGCCUUUGAAUCAGCAGUGCUUAGUCUUCAUCAGUUCUUUGACAGUCAGCAGUUGUUAGGUCUUCUCAGUCUUUGUACCCAGCAGUGCUUUAAUGAACAGGUGUUAAGGAGAACAGUCUUUAAGAUGAUCAGCUGAUUGAAGCACUUCCAUUGGAGGGAACUUAGAACAUGCAAGCUUAUUGUGGAUCAACUAAUGAGAACUAGUUUUAGCUUUCAAUAUCAUCUGUUCUUCUAGGUUAGAUUACAUGGGCCAACAGUAUUAUUAUUGACGGAUGAAUGGAAGUCUCUUUAUUAAUGGAUUACCGACAUAAAAUCCAUCAACACAUAUUAUCGACAAAUAGCUCAUGGCUACAUCAUUGUAAGAUCAAGGAUGAAUUAUCGAUGGUUACAUCACCGAUAUGUUCCAUUAGUAAUAUGUUGGUUUUUUUUAAUGACUCCAACUCACCCAUAAUUGAC